rnacentral:misc_RNA from 1 species
AAGUCGUAACAAGGUUUCACACUGAUUACUUGGGGAUGCCAGGUCACUAGAUGCAAUCGCUCAACCGUAGCUAUAAAAUAUCACAAUCGGCAGAGGUCUCUGAGCCAAAAGCUGGUCAACAAUGAUUUACCAGGGAUUGCUGUUUUCACGGGCUACAGGAGCAAGCUGAAAGUUCACGGGGGCACGAUCGCUGUAGGCCCACACGGCCGGCGACCGGGUCACCGGGCUCUGCCCCUUUACGACAACACAGUACGAAUUGGCCGCGCGUGAAAUUCGCACGGCACCAAAAACCGAACAACUGUUAACAAUGGAUAUCUUGGUUCUC